UACAGAGGGUGCGAGCGUUGUCCGGAAUCACUGGGCGUAGAGGGCGCGCAGGCGGUUCUAUAAGACAGAUGUGAAAUCCCCGGGCUCAACCUGGGAACUGCAUUUGUGACUGUAGAGCUGGAGUACGGUAGAGGGGGAUGGAAUUCCGCGUGUAGCAGUGAAAUGCGUAGAUAUGCGGAGGAACACCGAUGGCGAAGGCAAUCCCCUGGACCUGUACUGACGCUCAUGCACGAAAGCGUGGGGAGCAAACAGG
rnacentral:rRNA from 1 species